rnacentral:ncRNA from 1 species
CCCGCUGAGUUUAAGCAUAUAAAUAAGCGGAGGAGAAGAAACUUACAAGGAUUCCCCUAGUAACGGCGAGCGAACCGGGAGCAGCCCAGCUUGAGAAUCGGGCGGCUGUGCCGUCCGAAUUGUAGUCUGGAGAGGCGUCCUCAGCGACGGACCGGGCCCAAGUCCCCUGGAAAGGGGCGCCUGGGAGGGUGAGAGCCCCGUCCGGCCCGGACCCUGUCGCCCCACGAGGCGCCGUCAACGAGUCGGGUUGUUUGGGAAUGCAGCCCAAAUCGGGCGGUAGACUCCGUCCAAGGCUAAAUACAGGCGAGAGACCGCUAGCGAACAAGUACCGCGAGGGAAAGAUGAAAAGGACUUUGGAAAGAGAGUCAAAGAGUGCUUGAAAUUGCCGGGAGGGAAGCGGAUGGGGGCCAGCGAUGCGCCCCGGCCGUAUGUAGAAUGACUCUUGCUGGUCCGCCGCUCGGCUCGGGGUGUGGACUAUUGUCGGCCAUGCCAGCGGCUGUAGGUGCCCCCGGUGGCCGUCGUCGGCACGGCUGGUACCCAUGCGCCAAAAGGCGUGUCCCUCGGGGCACUACGCUGCAACUGCCCGCGGGCUCCCCAUUCGACCCGUCUUGAAACACGG